UGGGGAAUUUUCCGCAAUGGGCGCAAGCCUGAUCCAGCCAUGCCGCGUGAGUGACGAAGGCCCUAGGGUUGUAAAGCUCUUUCAGUGGUGACGAUGAUGACGGUAGCCACAGAAGAAGCCCCGGCUAACUCCGUGCCAGCAGCCGCGGUAAUACGGAGGGGGCAAGCGUUGUUCGGAAUUACUGGGCGUAAAGGGCGCGUAGGCGGUCUGUUGCGUCAGGUGUGAAAGCCCCGGGCUCAACCUGGGAGGUGCACUUGAUACGGGCGGACUGGAAUCCGGGAGAGGAUGGUGGAAUUCCCAGUGUAGAGGUGAAAUUCGUAGAUAUUGGGAAGAACACCGAUGGCGAAAGCGCUCUGCUAGGCCGUAACUGACACUGAGGGACGAAAGCUAAGGGAGCGAAUGGGAUUAGAUACCCCCGUAGUCC
rnacentral:rRNA from 1 species